rnacentral:rRNA from 1 species
ACGCUAGCUACAGGCUUAACACAUGCAAGUCGAGGGGCAUCAGGAAGAAAGCUUGCUUUCUUUGCUGGCGACCGGCGCACGGGUGAGUAACACGUAUCCAACCUGCCCUUUACUCGGGGAUAGCCUUUCGAAAGAAAGAUUAAUACCCGAUAGCAUAAUGAUUCCGCAUGGUUUCAUUAUUAAAGGAUUCCGGUAAAGGAUGGGGAUGCGUUCCAUUAGGUUGUUGGUGAGGUAACGGCCCACCAAGCCUUCGAUGGAUAGGGGUUCUGAGAGGAAGGUCCCCCACAUUGGAACUGAGACACGGUCCAAACUCCUACGGGAGGCAGCAGUGAGGAAUAUUGGUCAAUGGGCGCUAGCCUGAACCAGCCAAGUAGCGUGAAGGAUGAAGGCUCUAUGGGUCGUAAACUUCUUUUAUAUAAGAAUAAAGUGCAGUAUGUAUACUGUUUUGUAUGUAUUAUAUGAAUAAGGAUCGGCUAACUCCGUGCCAGCAGCCGCGGUAAUACGGAGGAUCCGAGCGUUAUCCGGAUUUAUUGGGUUUAAAGGGAGCGUAGGUGGACUGGUAAGUCAGUUGUGAAAGUUUGCGGCUCAACCGUAAAAUUGCAGUUGAUACUGUCAGUCUUGAGUACAGUAGAGGUGGGCGGAAUUCGUGGUGUAGCGGUGAAAUGCUUAGAUAUCACGAAGAACUCCGAUUGCGAAGGCAGCUCACUGGACUGCAACUGACACUGAUGCUCGAAAGUGUGGGUAUCAAACAGGAUUAGAUACCCUGGUAGUCCACACAGUAAACGAUGAAUACUCGCUGUUUGCGAUAUACAGUAAGCGGCCAAGCGAAAGCAUUAAGUAUUCCACCUGGGGAGUACGCCGGCAACGGUGAAACUCAAAGGAAUUGACGGGGGCCCGCACAAGCGGAGGAACAUGUGGUUUAAUUCGAUGAUACGCGAGGAACCUUACCCGGGCUUAAAUUGCAGUGGAAUGAUGUGGAAACAUGUCAGUGAGCAAUCACCGCUGUGAAGGUGCUGCAUGGUUGUCGUCAGCUCGUGCCGUGAGGUGUCGGCUUAAGUGCCAUAACGAGCGCAACCCUUACCUUUAGUUACUAACAGGUCAUGCUGAGGACUCUAGAGAGACUGCCGUCGUAAGAUGUGAGGAAGGUGGGGAUGACGUCAAAUCAGCACGGCCCUUACGUCCGGGGCUACACACGUGUUACAAUGGGGGGUACAGAAGGCAGCUAGCGGGUGACCGUAUGCUAAUCCCAAAAGCCUCUCUCAGUUCGGAUCGAAGUCUGCAACCCGACUUCGUGAAGCUGGAUUCGCUAGUAAUCGCGCAUCAGCCACGGCGCGGUGAAUACGUUCCCGGGCCUUGUACACACCGCCCGUCAAGCCAUGGGAGCCGGGGGUACCUGAAGUACGUAACCGCAAGGAUCGUCCUAGGGUAAAACUGGUGACUGGGGCUAA